rnacentral:rRNA from 1 species
CGGGAAUUUUGGGCAAUGGGCGAAAGCCUGACCCAGCAACGCCGCGUGAGGGAUGAAGUAUUUCGGUAUGUAAACCUCGAAAGAAUGGGAAGAAUAAAUGACGGUACCAUUUAUAAGCUCCGGCUAACUACGUGCCAGCAGCCGCGGUAAUACGUAGGGAGCAAGCGUUGUUCGGAUUUACUGGGCGUAAAGGGCGCGUAGGCGGCGCGGUAAGUCACUUGUGAAAUCUCUGAGCUUAACUCAGAACGGCCAAGUGAUACUGCUGUGCUAGAGUGCGGAAGAGGCAACCGGAAUUCUUGGUGUAGCGGUGAAAUGCGUAGAUAUCAAGAGGAACACCUGAGACGAAGGCGGGUUGCUGGGCCGACACUGACGCUGAUGCGCGAAAGCCAGGGGAGCAAACG